CCGCUGCUUGCCGGGUCCCGGCCCGGCGACGCGCGCUCACACCCUCCUCCCGAGCCGCCCUCACGCCGAGCGCUGCGGACGGGGGCGCGCAACCUGCCGCCGGCCGGGACCCUGCGGCGAGUGCCGGAACCCGGCCGGGCGGGGCCUCCCGCGGCCCGGCCGCUUUAUUGGGUCACCGGCCUCGCCCACCGCCCUGCCAGCCGCAGCCAUCUCGGCGGGCGCGCCGCUCGCAGCCAGCGCCCCAUCCCCAGGCCUGCACGUACGUCGUCGGCGAUCCGGGGCCGGGGGCGGCUCCGAGGUCGUCGGGGCCGGGGUCCCACCUCCUCUUGGAGGAAGCGCCGCCUCCCCACCCGCCCGGGGCCCUCGCCAAGUGGCUGCUAACAAAGCCCAGGGCCCGGCUGCGGGAUGGUUGACUGACAAAGUCAUGCCUGCCUAGCCAGCUUCCUCGUGCAGCACGGUGAAGGCUGGGGCGCCGGGUUUUUACUCCCACGUCCUGCCAACUCGAGCUGACAAGGCGGGCAAUCCACCAGCGGGAGCGUUGGCAGGCCCGGGGUCAGAUCCUGAUUCAGCCAGUUAAUUGCUGACACACUCAGAAUGACAAAGGAGUUAGAAAU
rnacentral:lncRNA from 1 species